GGAGGGGUUCCCGAGCGGUCAAAGGGGGCAGACUGUAAAUCUGUUGGCUUAGCCUUCGGAGGUUCGAAUCCUCCCCCCUCCACCA
rnacentral:tRNA from 1 species